UACGUAGGGUGCAAGCGUUAUCCGGAAUUAUUGGGCGUAAAGAGCUCGUAGGCGGUUUGUCGCGUCUGCUGUGAAAACCCGAGGCUCAACCUCGGGCCUGCAGUGGGUACGGGCAGACUAGAGUGCGGUAGGGGAGAUUGGAAUUCCUGGUGUAGCGGUGGAAUGCGCAGAUAUCAGGAGGAACGCCGAUGGCGAAUGCAGAUCUCUGGGCCGUAACUGACGCUGAGGAGCGAAAGCGUGGGGAGCGAACAGG
rnacentral:rRNA from 1 species